UCGAGUGCAAGCCUGUGUUCCCUUCUCGUGGAAACGUCCACGCGGGAUAGUGCGCGCGGCGUACAUACAAACAAAUAACGGUUCGACCGGAACGUGAGUUUGCGAAAAUAUUUAUAGCGGGCGCUUGCUUUUAUCCGUUUGCCCCGACAAGAGUUUCGAAUGGACGAAUAGAUUUGGUGCUUCUUCGUGAAACUCUCUCGGAUCUGGCGAGAUAUGUAAGAAGUAUAUAGUAGAAGGUGAUUAAAAUUGUGGCGAAAAGAUAUUGCAUGGGUUAUUGAGCGAGUAAGAUAACUUGAUAGUCGCUUUAUUUGAAUAUUCGAAUGAACGAUUAAGAAGAAAAGAAAAAGGAAGAAAAAUAUACGUGUAUAAAUUAGCAGAAGAUUCUAUCGAAAUUUGUAAAAAGGAAAUACAAGUUUACAAAGCCUCUUAAAAAAUUUGUAUUUUUAAAAUAUGGCCUUUCAUUAGAUAUUAAAAGGAAUAAGAUUUUAUUUUUCGAUUCAUACAAAAGUAAUGAAAACAAAGAUUUUUCAAAAUUUUAACAAAGUUAUGUUUAUAUAGAAUUUAAUUAUUGGAAAUAUAAACCGAAUACGAUUUUAAACAUACGUAGAAAAUUAAACCAAGAUAAUAUUAAUACAAAUUAUGUUAAAUAUUGAUAAAAAAUUGUAAUAAUAUAGUAAAUUUAAAAGAAAUAUCUAAAAGACAGAUUUAUAUUUAUAUUACAUUAAUCGAAACUGACGAUAAUGAAUCAUAACAUCGAGAUUUAUAAUGUAUUCACUAUCUAUUAUUGAACGAAAAUUAAUAAAGUAUGUAUUUGAUAUAAACAAUUUUCUUUCAAAAUCACUGUACAAUACCUACUUGUGAUUUUGAAAUGAUAAUCUAUAUCAUGCAUAAUUAUCUUCAAAAAUUACAUUUUUACGUCGAUUCGGAAUUAAGAUUCAGAAACAAAUAGAAAGAGUUCAAUAAACAAAUCGUAAUAAAAUUUUAUGGAAUAUACAACAGCGUCUCAAAUACAGUCGUCAGUUUUAAUAACGAUCACUUAUCUGCUACAAUUAAAAUACAGAGGAGAAGAUUGAUCUCUGUCGACGUUCGCAAGAAUUGCUCAAUAACAUUACUAUCAUAUUUGAGUGAUCUUUCAAUGAAUGAAGCAUUUGUCUUUGCAGUGAUAUUUAUUUUGCUCUUGAACUUCGUCUAUUUGUCAAGACGUUGUGUCGUACAUUCAUUCUUACAAUUCUGAAUUACGUUAUCGUUAUUUUUUUCGUUCUAGAUUUUCGAAAUAAUAUUCUUCUAACGAACGAUCUACAAUUCAGCACAAUGGAAAGAGAUAUUAAAUCGGAUAAGAUACAGCUCUCUCAUCUUGCUAAUUGUAAGAUCGUUUAAUUUUGAUCUGCCGUUUCUAAAUUCAAGGUCGUAAAAAGAAUCGUUAUUUAAAAAAAGAUUAAGAGGACUUUGACUUUUUGUGGGAAGGAAAUCUUUAAGAAAAAUAUAAAUAUUCGCGUUAUCCGAUUUUUAAAAAAUUAAUCGACUCGUGAUUAGAUGGAAUAAUCCGAAGAACUUAGGAAGAUAAAUCUAAUUACAGAUGUAAUAUUGGCCUUUUCGUCCCUUAUGACAAUUUGCCACGCGAUGUAAUAGACACCGUAAGCAGGUUCCUUCGGAGUAUCGAGUUUCACCCCAUUACACCUUCUAUGCAUUUAUUACGCGCUCCCUCUGUCUUUCUUCUGCUUAACCAACUUCUCGCUCGUCUCGUAUUUCAUUCCACGCGCGUCUAAUCAAAACUAUGCGAUGACGUCUUUCUCAUUCAUACGAGAAUCCUCAUUCUUUUCAUACACCCUUCCUACAUGUCGCGUGCUAAUUGGUCCAAAGUGGGUGUCCAAACAUCUCCGAGAUGUGCUAAAUAAAAUAAUAAGAAUAUGAAAUAGAAAUGAACGAAUGAAAAUUUAUGGAAAAUGGAAUUAAAAAAAGUUGAGAACGUUAUCGAAACGAGAAUGACAAGGAGAAAAAUGUAUAAAGGAUGUUUCUCUUUAAACGAUAUAACCAGUAUUUUAUUUCAAGUCUAAAGAUUACCUUUUAACAAAUUUAACGUGUAAAUUUAGAAAAAAGUACGAAUAUAAAUACAUCAGUGCAUCAAUUACGAUAACAAAUGGUUUUAAAUAUUUUAAAGGAACGAUUCGUCUAUUGAAUUAGCGAAUAAAUUUACUUUCAAUUGUCGCAGCCUUGACGCAAAGGUAAAUUAUCGCAACUUUCUAUAUCCGUAACAGCCAUAAAGAUUUAAAUUUGUUGGUCUCCCUUUCAAAGGGUAUCGCGCUUUCGCGCAGUGCAUACAUCAAGUCCUUAAAGUCUAAAUGCGCUUAAACUGGGAGUAACGUAAGCUAUUAAGAGGUUAACCCCGGCUGGUACAUAUUUGCAUGCGGUAUUGUUCCCUUAAUUAUUCUUAAAUUACAACUCCGUGUCACGCACGAUACAUAGUUCUGUAAUAAGAACAUUUAAUCGGUGACACGUUACGAUUACAACGUCUUGCACCGUAACGAAUUGAAAUUGCACGUGCAGUAUAUGGUUUAUAUCAGGAAAUAACCACGAAAAUUGCUUUCGUUAAUAGAAUGGAAUUGUUUGUUCCGGCACACGAGUUCAAUUAUGGAGAAAUUCGUAUUUUCGGAUGAUUUCUCUUUUUUUUUAUAAACAAACCAUUCUACUUCAAUAUCGAGGGUAAAUGCAACGCUCGAAUAUUUCUCUCUCCUCUUCUCAGAAAACAACAUUCCCCUUUCCAUCGUAACUAUGCAACACUCUUGCGAGCGCACGACGUACUCCAUAAUCACGCGCAGACUUUAUCUCCUCCGCGCGCGAACCAGCGAAAUCGGAAAAUCGUCGAGUACAACGUACGUUCCUCGAACAUGGUCCAACGACACGAUCUGAUAAAGUGGUUGAAGGAAGAAGAAGAAAAAAGAGUCGACGGGGCAACGGUGGUUGUCAUUAACAUUUCAGAGAAGGAAUUUUUUUCUUUUUUUUUCACCCAAGGGAGCGAACGCGGGUGAAGAAGAAACGAAGAAGAAACGCGCAGUGAACGGAGCUUCGUCAGAUGCUCGCGUGGUGGCGGGCUAUCAAUUUAAUCUUUUCUCGAUGAAUGGACGGAUCGGUUUUCUUAAAGUGCCGGUUUCACUCGGAGAGCCGCAUUUCUUGACCCCCCUUUAGCCGGACGUAUGGUGUAUUCUCGGUUUGUGGCUGCGUUGGGUCAUAUAUUUGUGCCGUGGCGCGCCCUUAAAUUAUGCGCGCAAUUACGCGUACCUGCACCGCGUAAGUGCAUCUUCGUAUAGCGUUGCGCACACUAGCGCCAUCGUCUAGAGAGCGGGCGAAAAGAGUGGGGAACGAGGAAGAGAGACGGAGGAAAGAUUACCGAGUUGGAGGAAAGGUUGAAGGAGAGAGACGGAGAGAUGAAAGAAGAGGAGAGGAGGAUACGUAAACGAUCGCGAAAUUGCGACUCUUCUACGUACUGUUCUACAGCAAUUCUGCUUUUUUUUGCGAGGUGUUAAUGACGAGUAGAAGUGGCUGUAUAGGUCGACCAAGUGCUGUCGAGUUAGCAAGAUACGCUCGUGGUACGAACAAAUGUGUUGAACGCACCGCGAGAGAAAUAUCCGAUGCGGAGGAUGUGUCGCCUAACCUAUAAUGCGUUUCGAAAUGUCGACGCUCGACAUCGAGCUUUAUGGAAGAGGAGCUACGUACUGCUGCGUAAAUGGAAAACGGGACAAAAUCGCCAACCGACUACUGGAAAAUAUCGAAAGUCAACGAUCGAUGACCGCCAGUGAUCUGCGUAGUAGCCGGUGGUUGAGGAUGGCUCCGCGUUCGACUCGAAGAUUUUCUUUUGGAGAACGAAAAUAGCCAGCGCGGCGGUACUUGGGCGGUAGGUCGAGAGACGGUUUUCAGAUAGAGAAGUAUCUCUGACACACCGGGUGUGUACCGCGUGUAUAAAUUUCAUCGUGUACACACGCGCACGCAUAAAUCGCGCGUAACCCUGAGGGUAAGCGCGUAAACAGGCGCGCGCAUCGCGAGAACGUAGAGAAGCAUGGGGGCCAGUUAGGGAGAAAAGGAGGCGAGGAGGAGGAAGAGAGAGGGAGAGAGGCGAGGAGAAGAGAAGAAACAAGAGUCCUGCGUGUUCAAACAAAGUUAAAUAUAAAAUUUCAAUGGCGGCGAAUGGGAAAUUCGAGCUAACCGUUUCAACCGUAUUUCGAGCGGGCGUGUUUACAAAUACGAAUUUCUUCUCGUGGAAACCCGUCGACAUAAUGCCACCGUAUAACACUCAUCCAACAAAUCGGUGGCGGAAGCUGCAUUCCCUGUCCAUCAUCGAAAAGAUCAGCCACAGACCAGAUAUAGUACACCGACGUCGAGUAAACACGUGGUUGUAUCCUGUAUAUUCGGGAAAGCGUAAAUUUACGAGCCAAUAAAUUAUCGCGGCACGCCUAUCGUGACACAGCUUGCAAAAUGCUAACAAGCCGUUAACACCGUCGCGAGGCUCUCGACGUUAAUGAGCAACGGCACGCGUGAAAACGAAUCUAGCGGAAUUUCGACGCGCCCGGCCUCUGUGGGAUAAACAGAGAAAUAAAAAAGAAAAAAAAGAAAUGCCGACGGAUCAAAAUUUCGUCGAAACAUUUUCCAAUUGCGACUCGUAAUCGAGUGGAAAAUGAAAGUAGGAUAAAAAAAAUAACGAAAGAUCAAAGAUUUUGAAACAUUAUCCAGUUACGUGAUAAUAUAUUUUUGUUCAAGAUAAAAGUCCAAAGUGAUAUAAAUAACUCGAUUUCUCUUUCAAACAAGGUUAUUUAUUUACUUAUUUCCCCAUUUCAUUUGGAUAAAUCAGGCGUGAUUGAAAUUUUUAAUAACGUUUCAAAAAAGUUACUCAAUUAUUUGUUAAAAGUUCAAUUAAAAAAAAAAUUUUUAAACUUUUUUCAAAAACCACGACGAACGAAAUCUUCUUAUCUUCUCGAACAUCGAGAUAUUAAUAUACUUCGAUUUAGCCAUCAACGACACCUUCGAACGUUCGACCCCUUCGGGACUUUUUUUCGUUCCCGUUUAUUAACGACGCGACCGUGCAAGGAAUGACGAUCGACUCGUCAAGGCGAGCAAGAACUCGAUGGAAGAACUCGAGGAGCGUGCUUUAUUCAAUAAAGAAACGGAACGAAAGGUAUGAUAAAGAUGGAGCGGAAAAUAUACGAUUGGAGCUUCUGAAAAGGCACUGGAUAGAGGGGAUACGGGUGAAUUACAACAACUUCUUUCGUAGCUCGAUUCGAUAAUGGGCGCUAGGAGUAUAACGCUAUAAACGGCCGGUGUCGGUUGUCCGCCAUUCUCAUUACAAAUGGUCUCAUCUCGGGACACGUGUUUGUUUAUGUCGUCAUCAGUCGAGCACCACCGUUGCUACUUGCCUCCAACCACACUCCCUGCAAAUGUAUUCCACGCGAGAGGGACAAACACUUCGUACCCGACCAGAUAUAUGUCGUUCCUCUGAGCGUUCGAUGAAAAGAGAAAACGCGUUCGAUCAAUUUUUCUACGACGAAAUGAAGAAACGAAUUGUUUGGAUGAUGGAGGAUAAUUAUAAUAAAUAAAAAAACAGUCUGAAUUUUUUUCUAUACGUAUAAUGGGUGAUCUCUUUUAACUUUUCGAAAUAUUUCCAUUUUUGAACGCCCACGCUUCUUUUACAGUGAGCGUGAAGAGCAUUCGUGCAAUAAUAAAUUUUAAAAAAAGAAAAAUUUUAAAAUUUUAUUUAUUAAUUUCAACGAAUAACGCGUAUAUUUUUUAAAUUUAUUAUUAUUCGAAUAUCUAUAUAUUACAAAUAUGUUAUAAAUAUGUAAAAACGAGAAAUAUUAUAUAUAUAAUUAUUCGGUUAAAUAAAUUUCUAGUUUAGAUUUCUCAUAAUUUAUGCAAUAUCGUUUUUUUAUUUAUGUAUAAUAUAACGUUAUUUC